UGCCGCGCGGGGCACCAGGGGGCACUGCGGCACCAGCUGCCUUGGCAGGCCCUGGCACGGCGGCCAUCUCCGGCGGCGGUUUGAAAGGGUGACGGCGGCAAAGUGGGUUGUAUAUAGAGGCUGACAGGAAAGGAUAAUAGCUGUAUUUGUCGCUCGGCUUCCUUUGUUUCCUGCCUUCCUCGUUGCGCUGAGCCCAGCUGGUAGCGUAGAGCGGGCCGGCCUGGUGGAUCCCUUCCAUUCGCUGCACCAGCGCUAGAGAGGUCGCCAUUUUCAUCUCCACCCUGCCUCAGACCCUCUCGGCCGGACUCGUCUCGCCGUGGAGGUAAGGCGCUCUGUCAGCGGCAGCAGGCAGUGUCUGGUGCUCAGCUGAGGCAGGAGAACCAGCCGGGAGCGCGAAAAGGGGCCUGCACCGCUCCUGCCCGUUGUUUGAUCGCCCCGACAUCACCAGGUUCCUCCACUGAUUUCGUUUCCAUCCUUCUCCACCCUUCCCCAGCGCUGCGGGGAGGGGGCACGGGGCUCACGAAAGAAGGGGAAGAAGGUGCCGAGGAGAGUCGAACAAGGAGAGGCAGCCCCAGUGGACAGCGGUGAGUGACGAGGACAGAGAUUUGGAUUCCCCCAUCAGCCCAGUCGGGCGUUUUUACCGCUCCCUUCCUUUUACCUCCUUCCCUGUGCGCGCGGGGAGCAACCUUGCCGGCCUGCCCGCCAUCAGGGGUGCUGCUGGAGUCGGGUCAGGUGGGGGGCUGCGGAGCAGGUAGCUGCAGCCAGAGGCAAGCUGUGCUGAAUCGCGGGCACCAGAGCCAGUUGCUUUCUUCCCCCGGGCGGGGGGCUCGGGUUUCUGCUGUCUCCCUGCCCGUGGACCGAAGCGGAAUAAAGAAGUCACCUGUCCCCGUGGAGUCUGCAGGCCGCCGGCUCUUUAUUGAGGAGCCCAUCGGUGUCUUCCGUAGUAUGAGUCAUCAGCUCUGCAACUGGGCAGUGGUGAUCGAGAGCCCCCGGCCGCAGCGCGCCGGGCUGGGCUGGACGAGCUCCACGCGAACGGCGGCGGCAGGGCCACCGAGGCCUGAGUGAGACGUUACAAGGAGAGAGCCCCUCCCUCCUUCCUGGCCGCCGCCAACAGCGGGAGCAGGCCAGGAAAACAGCAGUUUCUGGGACUUCUAACUAAAGUCAGAUGUGAAGUAGAUCAUAAAUCUUCUGAUUGUUUUUGAACUUCUAUGAAUUGAAUAAUAUUUUUAUUGCCUUUUUUAAAAUUACAUUUUUUAGGAAGUGAUUUAAACAAAACCCUAAACAGACUUUCUCACACCCAUUCCAAAUAUCCCCCCUGUACUGUGACAACUGCUUAAUAAAUCCUAAAAAGUCAAAAUGUUUGUAAA